rnacentral:rRNA from 1 species
UACGGAGGGGGUUAGCGUUGUUCGGAAUGACUGGGCGUAAAGCGCGCGUAGGCGGAUCGGAAAGUUGGGGGUGAAAUCCCGGGGCUCAACCUCGGAAUGGCCUUCAAAACUCCUGGUCUUGAGUUCGAGAGAGGUGAGUGGAAUUCCGAGUGUAGAGGUGAAAUUCGUAGAUAUUCGGAGGAACACCAGUGGCGAAGGCGGCUCACUGGCUCGACACUGACGCUGAGGUGCGAAAGCGUGGGGAGCAAACAGG